CACGAUCCACUGAGAUUCAGC
rnacentral:siRNA from 1 species